CGCGUAGGUGGUUAGGUAAGCGAGAUGUGAAAGCCCCGGGCUUAACCUGGGAACGGCAUUUCGAACUGUCUGACUAGAGUAUGGUAGAGGGUAGUGGAAUUUCCUGUGUAGCGGUGAAAUGCGUAGAUAUAGGAAGGAACACCAGUGGCGAAGGCGGCUACCUGGACCAAUACUGACACUGAGGUGCGAAAGCGUGGGGAGCAAACA
rnacentral:rRNA from 1 species